rnacentral:rRNA from 1 species
UGUUCCUACGGGACUCAGCAGUCGUUCCUCUUCCCCCCUUUCCUAAAGUCUGAUGGAGCAACGCCGCGUGAGUGAAGAAGGGUUUCGGCUCGUAAAGCUCUGUUGGUAGUGGAGAAAGAUAGAGGUAGUAACUGGCCUUUAUUUGACGGUAAUUACUUAGAAAGUCACGGCUAACUACUUGCCAGCAGCCGCGGUAAUACGUAGGUGGCAAGCGUUGUCCGGAUUUAUUUGGCGUAAAGCGAGUGCAGGCGGUUCCAUAAGUCU